AUGAAGAGCAACCGAGCCCCUGACCCGGAUAACAUACCAGCUGAGUUUUAUAAACACUGCUGGGAGUUUGUGAAAAAAGAUAUUAUGCGCUUGUUUGAUGCUUUUCAUGACAACACUUUAGAUGUUGCUCGUUUGAAUUAUGGGGUGAUAACUCUUAUCCCAAAAAUGAAUGGAGCUAAGAAAAUCCAGCAAUAUAGACCAAUUUGCCUCUUGCGAUGUCCAUACAAACUUAUUACCAAUGUUUUGGACAAUAGAGCAGCUAUUUUUACUGAUAUGCUCAUCAGCAAGCCUCAAAAUGCCUUCAUAAAGCAUAGAAACAUUAUGGAUGGUAUCUUGACCCUACAUGAAAUUCUUCAUCACACGCAGCGAAAGAAAAGAAAUUGGUGUGGUGUUGAAACUUGA
rnacentral:rRNA from 1 species